CUCAGUCAUUGGUCAGUGCCUCAGUGGGCCCCGCCCAGAAGCAGCCAACUGUCAAGGAGCAACCCUUAGUGGUGGGAUUCAACCAACUGUCGGACUGUCUGUCUGUCCUCAGGUGGAGAGUGAGGUUUCUCGAAACACCUCUAUUUUCUAGAAGACAUUGAUAUUCUAGAAGACACUGGUAUCACAAUGACUCGAUUCUUAGACAAUGCUGGCCUUAUUGUGGUGGUAAAUCUUAAUUAUCUACACGCUACACCAGAGAUACACAGCUGUAUACCUGGAGGUGGUGAAAUUCAACUGAUCAAAUUGUACUAG
rnacentral:lncRNA from 1 species